rnacentral:rRNA from 1 species
CCUACGGGUGGCAGCAGUGAGGAAUAUUGGUCAAUGGACGAGAGUCUGAACCAGCCAAGUAGCGUGAAGGAUGACUGCCCUAUGGGUUGUAAACUUCUUUUAUAUGGGAAUAAAACGUUCCCCGUGUGGGAUUUUGUAUGUACCAUAUGAAUAAGGAUCGGCUAACUCCGUGCCAGCAGCCGCGGUAAUACGGAGGAUCCGAGCGUUAUCCGGAUUUAUUGGGUUUAAAGGGAGCGUAGGUGGAUUGUUAAGUCAGUUGUGAAAGUUUGCGGCUCAACCGUAAAAUUGCAGUUGAAACUGGCAGUCUUGAGUACAGUAGAGGUGGGCGGAAUUCGUGGUGUAGCGGUGAAAUGCUUAGAUAUCACGAAGAACUCCGAUUGCGAAGGCAGUUCACUGGACUGCAACUGACACUGAGGCUCGAAAGUGUGGGUAUCAAACAGGAGUAGAUACCCCAGUAGUC